rnacentral:rRNA from 1 species
CUACGGCGGGCUCCAGUGAGGAAUAUUGCACAAUGGGGAAAACCCUGAUGCAGCAACGCCGCGUGGAGGAUGACGCAUUUCGGUGUGUAAACUCCUUUUAUGAGUCAAGAAAAUGACGGUAGCUCAUGAAUAAGCACCGGCUAACUCCGUGCCAGCAGCCGCGGUAAUAGGGAGGGUGCAAGCGUUACUCGGAAUCACUGGGCGUAAAGGACGCGUAGGCGGGAUGUCAAGUCAGGUGUGAAAUCCUAUGGCUCAACCAUAGAACUGCACUUGAAACUGGCAACCUAGAGUAUGGGAGGGGGAGAUGGAAUUAGUGGUGUAGGGGUAAAAUCCGUAGAUAUCACUAGGAAUACCGAAAGCGAAGGCGAUCUCCUGGAACAUUACUGACGCUAAGGCGUGAAAGCGUGGGGAGCAAACAGGAUUAGAUACCCGCGUAGUC